UGAUAAUCUUUCUUAAGUGGUAUUAUGUGGGUAAAUAUUACUGAUAUUAGUGUUUUGAAAAUUAUAUAACAUUCCUAAAAUUCUGAUCUGUCCUGGCUAUCAGCCAUAAUUCUAAAUAUUAUUUUAGGGUGUUGUAUAUCAGAAAUAAUAAGUUUCUCUGUCAAUUGUCAUUUUCAAGUCUUUUGUUGUUUACAGUCAGUUGUUUUACUCUGAUGCUUUUUGCUUUUGCAAAUACUUCUCAUCUUCAGAGACAUUCAUGGAAAAGACUCUGACACUUACUCUGGAUUACAGUUUUCUGAUAAACUUUCAGAUCACAGAACUGAACUGGAUUUAAGGAAAUCUUUUCUCUUACGCUGACUAUGACUUACAGCAAUUUAGUGAUAGUAUACCUUUAUGAGCAAAACUGAAACAUUUAUCUUUUUCUCCCUACCUGAUCCCUCCAGAAUUUGGAAACCUAGUAAGUGAGUGAGUAUGGUUGUUUCACGGCAAUAUUGUUAUUUGCAUAAGUUCAAUAAGAAUCUGUUCUCCUUAUAACAGGACACAUUUGUUAUCUUACCAAAGCUUUGACUGGAAUGUCAUAUUUGAGAGAAACAUACAGACUCAGAUAUGACAAUACUGCCUUUGAGGAAGAAGGUUGACUUUCUGGAAAUAAAGCCACUUGGAAAUAUGGGCCUGGUACCUUGUUUACAGAGAUUCUGGCAAUCUUACCUGAAAUACUUCUUAAACACCUGAUUGAUUGCUUCCAAAACAUAGGCCUAACUUUGGGAGCCCACCUGCAUCGCCACCUUCUAAAAUGAAUUUAACUGGACUGAUCUAUUACCAGGACUAAGAAAUGUGUUCAGUGAGAUGAAACAACCUACCACUCAGCUUCUGGAUUGUGAAACUUUUAGUUUCAAAGGCGGGACUGUAGGGACCUGAAAUUGGCCACCCCAACAUAUGUCUCUUUGGCAUCAGGAUUAUUUGAGGCUGAUUGCUUUUGAUAAACUGGGACAGGGAAGGAGGCCCUUUGUUAGGACACAUUUACAUCUGUAAGGUAAAUCUCUAUCUGUAAAGGUGCCUCCCUCUCUGUAGGCAAGGAACUGAUUGCUGCGCUCAUCUGUGAUCCCCCAGCCAGAGGCAACACACCUGCCACCCCGCGGCGUUCACUGAGACAGCAGAAAUAUCUGCCUCCAUCAAGCACUGUGCUGACAGAGCAG
rnacentral:lncRNA from 1 species